rnacentral:rRNA from 1 species
AUUGAACGCUGGCGGCAUGCCUUACACAUGCAAGUCGAACGGCAGCACGGGUGCUUGCACCUGGUGGCGAGUGGCGAACGGGUGAGUAAUACAUCGGAACAUGUCCUUUAGUGGGGGAUAGCCCGGCGAAAGCCGGAUUAAUACCGCAUACGAUCUACGGAUGAAAGCGGGGGACCUUCGGGCCUCGCGCUAUCGGGUUGGCCGAUGGCUGAUUAGCUAGUUGGUGGGGUAAAGGCCUACCAAGGCGACGAUCAGUAGCUGGUCUGAGAGGACGACCAGCCACACUGGGACUGAGACACAGCCCAGACUCCUACGGGAGGCAGCAGUGGGGAAUUUUGGACAAUGGGCGAAAGCCUGAUCCAGCAAUGCCGCGUGUGUGAAGAAGGCCUUCGGGUUGUAAAGCACUUUUGUCCGGAAAGAAAUCCUUGGCCCUAAUACGGUCGGGGGAUGACGGUACCGGAAGAAUAAGCACCGGCUAACUACGUG